rnacentral:misc_RNA from 1 species
GGAAGUAAAAGCGUAACAAGGUUUCCGUAGGUGAACCUGCGGAAGGAUCAUUCAUAAUAAAGUGUUUUAUGGCACUUUUUAAAAAUCCAUAUCCACCUUGUGUGCAAUGUUAAGUCUCUCGUUCAAGACAGUUUCGACUGUUCUUGGGCAGGGUCUUUAUAUAUCAACUCUUUCUUAAACCAAUUUGUCUGAAAAAUAUUAUGAAUACUUAAUUCAAAAUACAACUUUCAACAACGGAUCUCUUGGCUCUC